rnacentral:sRNA from 1 species
GCCGGGUGCUGUGGCUCACGCCUGUAAUCCCAACACUUUGGGAGGCCGAGGCGUGCGGAUCAUGAGGUCAGGAGAUCGAGACCAGCCUAGCCAACAUGGUGAAACCCCAUCUCUACUAAAAAUACAAAAAUUAGCUGGGCGUGGUGGCGCGUGCCUGUAGUCCCAGCUACUCAGGAGGCUGAGGAUUCUUCUGCCUCAGUCUCCCAAGUAGCUAGGAUUACAGGCACCCACCACCAUGCCCAG